AUUGAACGCUGGCGGCAGGCCUAACACAUGCAAGUCGAGCGGAGCGGCGGACGGGUGAGUAAUGCCUAGGAAUCUGCCUGGUAGUGGGGGAUAACGUCCGGAAACGGGCGCUAAUACCGCAUACUAUCAGAUGAGCCUAGGUCGGAUUAGCUAGUUGGUGGGGUAAAGGCCGACCAAGGCGACGAUCCGUAACUGGUCUGCGAGGAUGAUCAGUCAAACUGGAACUGAGAGACGGUCCAGAAUCCUACGGGAGGCAGCAGUGGGGAAGUGUGGACAAUGGGAGAAAGCCUGAUCCAGCCAUGCCGCGUGUGUGAAGAAGGUCUUCGGAUUGAAAAGCACUUUAAGUUGGGAGGCGGUACCAGCAGAAUAAGCACCGGCUAACUUCGUGCCAGCAGCCGCGGUAAUAC
rnacentral:rRNA from 1 species